AACGAACGCUGGCGGCAUGCCUAACACAUGCAAGUCGAACGAGACCUUCGGGUCUAGUGGCGCACGGGUGCGUAACGCGUGGGAACCUGCCCUUAGGUUCGGAAUAACUCCCCGAAAGGGGUGCUAAUACCGGAUAAUGUCUUCGGACCAAAGAUUUAUCGCCUUUGGAUGGGCCCGCGUUGGAUUAGCUAGUUGGUAGGGUAAAAGCCUACCAAGGCGACGAUCCAUAGCUGGUCUGAGAGGAUGAUCAGCCACACUGGGACUGAGACACGGCCCAGACUCCUACGGGAGGAAGCAGUGGGGAAUAUUGGAAAAGGGGCGAAAGCCUGAUCCAGCAAUGCCGCGUGAGUGAUGAAGGCCUUAGGGUUGUAAAGCUCUUUUACCCGGGAUGAUAAUGACAGUACCGGGAGAAUAAGCUCCGGCUAACUCCGUG
rnacentral:rRNA from 1 species